rnacentral:rRNA from 1 species
GAUGAACGCUGGCGGCGUGCCUAAUACAUGCAAGUCGAGCGAACGGACGAGAAGCUUGCUUUUCUGAUGUUAGCGGCGGACGGGUGAGUAACACGUGGAUAACCUACCUCUAAUACUGGUAUAACUUCGGGAAACCGGAGCUAAUACCGGAUAAUAUUUUGAACCGCAUGGUUCAAGAGUGAAAGACGGUCUUGCUGUCACUUAUAGAUGGACCCGCGCUGCAUUAGCUAGUUGGUAACGUAACGGCUUACCAAGGCAACGAUGCAUAGCCGACCUGAGCGGCGGAUAGGCGACAUUGGAGGGGAGACGCCGUCCAGACGACUACGAGACGCAGCAGUAGGGAACCUUACGCAAUGGGGGAGAGCAUGACGGAGCAACGGCGCGUGAGUGGUGACGGUGCUGGGAGCGUAAUGCUGGCUUAUUAGGGGUGAACAUCUGUGGCAGGGAAUGUGCAGAUAUUGACGGUACCUGGAGAAGAAGCCCCGGCUAACUACGUG